rnacentral:rRNA from 1 species
CAGUCGCCGCGGUAAUACGUAGGUGGCAAGCGUUGUCCGGAAUUAUUGGGCGUAAAGGGCUCGCAGGCGGUUUCUUAAGUCUGAUGUGAAAGCCCCCGGCUCAACCGGGGAGGGUCAUUGGAAACUGGGAAACUUGAGUGCAGAAGAGGAGAGUGGAAUUCCACGUGUAGCGGUGAAAUGCGUAGAGAUGUGGAGGAACACCAGUGGCGAAGGCGACUCUCUGGUCUGUAACUGACGCUGAGGAGCGAAAGCGUGGGGAGCGGACAGGAUUAGAUACCCGCGUAGUCCCUGUCUCUUAUAC